rnacentral:rRNA from 1 species
GAUGAACGCUGGCGGCGUGCUUAACACAUGCAAGUCGAACGAAGUGUUUAUUCAAAGUUCUUAGGGAUAGAGAAUAAAUUACUUAGUGGCGGACGGGUGAGUAACGCGUGGGUAACCUGCCUCACACAGGGGGGUAACAGUUGGAAACGACUGCUAAUACCGCAUAAGACCACAGCAACGCAUGGCGCAGGGGUAAAAGCUUUAUCGGUGUGAGAUGGACCUUCGUCUGAUUAGAUAGUUGGUGGGGUAGAAGCCUACCAAGUCAACGAUCAGUAGCCGACAUGAGAGGGUGAUCGGCCACAUUGGGACUGAGGCACGGCCCAAACUCCUACGGGAGGCAGCAGUGGGGAAUAUUGGACAAUGGGGGAAACCCUGAUCCAGCAACGCGGCGUGAGUGAAGAAGUAUUUCGGUAUGUAAAGCUCUAUCAGCAGGGAAGAAAAUGACGGUACCUGACUAAGAAGCCCCGGCUAACUACGUG